UGCGCGGCAGCCGCUGAGGCGGGCGCUGGGCGGGCUGAGGGGAGAGGCCGCGUCCUCGCAGCGGCGCCGGUGUCCGCCGUCCCCCCGCCCCGCUCUGCCCCCCCCCGCCCCGCUCUGCCCCCCCCCGCCCCGCUCUGCCCCCCCCCCGCCCCGCUCUGCCCCCGCCGGCCCCGCGGAUGGAGCGGGGGGCUGAGCGGAGCAGGCCGCCGCGCCGGGUGACGUGUGGUGAGCGCGCGGCGCCCGGCUCCGCUCUCCUCAGCGCCCCGCCGGGGCACCGGGGGCACCGGGCGCUGCGGCCCCGCCGGCGGGGCUGGGGCUGCGCUGCGGCUGCCGGAGACGGCUCCCCGUAUGUGCAGCCUGGUGAGUUGCAUGCGGUAAAUGUCUUAAGUUUCCUGACUAAAAGCAGUACAGAGGGUUGCUGGCUGCUGAAAUAACAUACCAGUACUUUGGUGAGUCGUGAUACCAACACAAGCAUGACUGGAAUUACGAGCAAACUGUUGGUGGUGAGAUACUGGUUUUGGUGGGUGGUUUUUUCUUGUUGCCUUUUUUCCCCCCCUGGAUAAACCUACUUUGUAACUGUAUAAAAUCGCUGCUGCAGAGUAUUUUAGUAAUACUUCUUUUAUUUUUAUUCCCACAGCUGAAAGAUGUCUUGAAGUAAAGAGAAAGUUAAUUUUGUACUAAGUAAUCAAGCAGAGAAGCUGUUGAUGAUGAUAACCCGAAUAGGAAGUGCCGUCAGAUGCGAGAACUGACGAUAACCUCUUCGUUUGUCUGACAUACAGCUACUGCCUGCAGAGUUUGAGCUGUAGUUUUGUCUACUAGAACUUCUCAGGCAACCUUUAUUUACACUUUGCUUUCUGUGAAAAAUGCUCUGGUAAUAACUAGGGUCGCCUCUGAUCCAUCUGUUCCAUUUCCUCUGCAGAGCCUGUUUUUCCAGAUAAAUGUUACACAGUUAGGACUGGGAGCAGGUAGCUCUUUGGAGAUGGCCCUAAUAUGAAGCUCUUCACAAGUCCUCUGGGAGGCAGUGAGACAGCAAGGGCAGAUUAUUCUGGGUGCCUGUGCUGAAAACAUCUUGUCUGGGGAAGGAGGAGUCCAAUAAAACGUGUGUGAGCUUGGGGAAGUUGUGAAAUACUAAAUUUUUAUGCCCUCUGGUGUUAAGAAAUAGUUACCAUUCUGAUGGCACACAUUAAAAUUCUCUCAAAAAAACCCAA